AUUUGCCAUCCACCACAUUGGUGUCUGUGAGCUGAUGGACCGAGCGGCCUGGGGUUGGUCGCCGUGCCGUUCCUGAACCAGGUCGCCACUGCCUCCCGAAGGCAACAAGUGGUGCCGAAACCCGGGAAAGCUCCUGGAUUCGGGUGAACAGCGGCCGGAGCGGCGGGACCAGCCCGGUGGGGAGGAUGCUCCCGGACCAACAAGGAAGAUGGAAACCCUUGUGAAGGUCGUAUCAAAGUUGUGGAAGCUAUGGGGUGGCUCGGCUGAGGAAGCCAAGGGUGCCGGUGGGGAACCAGAGCCUGAGGAAAUCUGGGAGAGACCACGGCCAUGUGCGCCCCAGUACGGUGCUGCACUAGAAGACGAAGGGUGGGACAAAGAAGCCUCCGGCAGGAAUGGGGAUGAAGUGUUAGGUUUUACUAACACAUGGAAAUGUGAGAAAGAGAACGGUUGCGGGGACGACCGGGGAGGAGUUAGAAGCGUGAGAGAGGGGCAGAGAGACGAUCGGAACGGCCAUCUGAGAAAACGCUCCAGUGGCGCAAACGCCUCACUGAGAAGGCGGCGGGGCGAGCCACGAGGCAGAGAGUGGCCUGCCCGUAGGGGUGGGGGGCGGGGCUGGAACUCGAUGGGAGGGUACUGGAACUCGGAGGUGAACAGUCAGUCGAGCUCCGACUCCGGAUCAGAUACCGAUUCAAAUUCGGAGGAGGAAAUGGGGACAGAUAACAAAAACAUCCCCAUCCGAAAUAAAGCUGCACCGCGAGGGGGAGAAAUUCCUCUCACGGAUUGGAGAAAAAUUAAGAUUGCGUGCGCCGACUGGGCCCCAUCAGCCACGUUAGCUUUCCCAGUCCGGGUGACAGACGGGGGCCAGAGGGUUUAUUCACCAAUAAACCCUAAAGACAUACAGACAAUUGUUAAAGCCAUUGCGGACAAAGGGCUUAAUUCUGCAAUGGUCUCCACCCUUAUAGAUGGUGUUUUCAGGGGAGACGACAUGCUCCCAUUCGAUAUAAAACAAACUUGUCGACUGAUCUUUGACGGGGCAGGGAUGAUGGUUUUUAAACAAGAAUGGGAGGAUAACUGUAUGAAACAAUUGGCCCAAGUAACUAGGGCGGAUCACCCGCUUUAUGGCUCUAGCCUGCAGCGGCUAAUGGGUACGGACCCAACAAUGAUCACCCCCCAGGCACAAGCCCAGGGCCUGCGGGCUCAUGAAGUUAUGUCAACUACUCAUGCAGCCAGAGAAGCUAUUCGUACAGCCUCUAGAGUUAUUGCCAAACCAUCCCCGUGGUCAACAAUAAAACAAAGUGAAAGCGAGAGCUUUGCACAGUUUGUAGACCGUCUCCAGGCAGCAGUCGACUCUUCGUCACUGCCUGUGGAGGCAAAAGGCCCAGUCGUAGCAGAAUGCCUACGCCAGCAGUGUAAUUCAGCAACCAGAGAAAUCUUGCGAUCACUGCCAGUGGGGUCUAGCAUUGCAGACAUGAUUAAACAUGUCAUGAGAGAGGAGCACCUAGCCCCGAUCCAAGUAGCUGUUCACACUGCAAUAACUAACAUGAUGGCAUGUUUUAAAUGUGGCCAGGCAGGCCACAUAAUUGCAAAUUGCCCUCAGUUGGGGGGUCCAUCAACAGCACUCCUCCCAUACCAAAACCAACCCAGAGGACCGUGUUGGGUUUGUGGAAGGAAAGGGCACUU
rnacentral:lncRNA from 1 species